GUCUACAGCCAUACCACCCUGAUCCUGGAAGCUAAGCAGUCAGGCCAGGCCAGUAUUUGGAUGGGAGACUGCCUGGGAACACCAGAUGCUCUAGGCU
rnacentral:rRNA from 1 species